GACGAACGCUGGCGGCGUGCCUAAUACAUGCAAGUUGAGCGAUGAAGAUUGGUGCUUGCACCAAUUUGAAGAGCAGCGAACGGGUGAGUAACGCGUGGGGAAUCUGCCUUUGAGCGGGGGACAACAUUUGGAAACGAAUGCUAAUACCGCAUAACAACUUUAAACAUAAGUUUUAAGUUUGAAAGAUGCAAUUGCAUCACUCAAAGAUGAUCCCGCGUUGUAUUAGCUAGUUGGUGAGGUAAAGGCUCACCAAGGCGAUGAUACAUAGCCGACCUGAGAGGGUGAUCGGCCACAUUGGGACUGAGACACGGCCCAAACUCCUACGGGAGGCAGCCGUAGGGAAUCUUCGGCAAUGGACGAAAGUCUGACCGAGCAACGCCGCGUGAGUGAAGAAGGUUUUCGGAUCGUAAAACUCUGUUGGUAGAGAAGAACGUUGGUGAGAGUGGAAAGCUCAUCAAGUGACGGUAACUACCCAGAAAGGGACGGCUAACUACGUG
rnacentral:rRNA from 1 species